rnacentral:rRNA from 16 species
UUCCUUGUCGGGUAAGUUCCGACCUGCACGAAUGGUGUAACCAUGGCCACGCUGUCUCCACCCGAGACUCAGUGAAAUUGAAAUCGCAGUGAAGAUGCUGUGUACCCGCACCUAGACGGAAAGACCCCGUGAACCUUUACUACAGCUUGGCACUGAACAUUGAACCUACAUGUGUAGGAUAGGUGGGAGGCUUCGAAGCACAGUCGCUAGAUUGUGUGGAGCCGUCCUUGAAAUACCACCCUUGUAUGUUUGAUGUUCUAACAUUGGUCCCUUAUCGGGAUUAUGGACAGUGUCUGGUGGGUAGUUUGACUGGGGCGGUCUCCUCCCAAAUAGUAACGGAGGAGCACGAAGGUUAGCUAAUCACGGUCGGACAUCGUGAGGUUAGUGCAAUGGCAUAAGCUAGCUUAACUGCGAGACAGACACGUCGAGCAGGUACGAAAGUAGGUCAUAGUGAUCCGGUGGUUCUGUAUGGAAGGGCCAUCGCUCAACGGAUAAAAGGUACUCCGGGGAUAACAGGCUGAUACCGCCCAAGAGUUCAUAUCGACGGCGGUGUUUGGCACCUCGAUGUCGGCUC